rnacentral:rRNA from 1 species
UGGGGAAUAUUGCGCAAUGGGGGAAACCCUGACGCAGCAACGCCGCGUGAGUGAUGAAGGCCUUCGGGUCGUAAAGCUCUGUCGGCAGGAACGAGGGUGUUUGUCUCUAAUAAAGGCAAGCAUUGACGGUACCUGCAAAGGAAGCACCGGCUAACUCUGUGCCAGCAGCCGCGGUAAGACAGAGGGUGCAAGCGUUAUUCGGAAUUAUUGGGCGUAAAGGGCGCGUAGGCGGCCCAUCAAGUCGGAUGUGAAAGCCCAGGGCUCAACCUUGGAAGUGCAUCCGAAACUGAUGAGCUAGAGUUCACGGAGAGGGUGGUGGAAUUCCCAGUGUAGAGGUGAAAUUCGUAGAUAUUGGGAGGAACACCGGUGGCGAAGGCGACCACCUGGACGGAAACUGACGCUGAGGCGCGAAAGCGUGGGUAGCAAACAGG